GAAAAUAUUUUCAAAAUUUAUUUGGAUGCUACCAUGAUUGGUUGCAUCCAAAUAAUGGAUAAUCAUUAAAACAUUGUGAAUAAUGAUGAGUGAGAACUUUAUUGAUAAUGGUGGGAGGUUAACAUGCUAAUCUUCUGCGUUAUUGGUAAUGGUGGGAGGUUAACAUGCUACUCUCCUGCGUUAUUGGUAAUAGGGAGAGGUUAACAUGCUAAGCUCCUGCGUUAUUGGUAAUGGGGAGAGGUUAACAUGCUAAUCUCCUGCAUUAUUGGUAAUGGGGAGAGGUUAACAUGUUAAUCUCCUGCGUUAUUGGUAAUGGGGAGAGGUUAACAUGCUAAUCUCCUGCAUUAUUGGUAAUGGGGAGAGGUUAACAUGCUAAUCUCCUGCGUUAUUGGUACAACCAUCAGCUGUUGAUUUUCUAUGUUUUAAUAAAUUAGUAAACAAUGAUUCAUCUUAUUCUUCUCAUCAUCCUCACUUCUCUUAGCCCAUGACAGAAAGGUAGGAGGGGAAGCGUUUCCAUUCCUCCAUCUCUCCCUCCAUCUCUCCCUCCAUCUCUCUCCCAAUAUUUCCCUCAAUCUCUUCCUUUUCCUGCCUCUCCACAUUUCCCCGCUCCAGAUCCAAGCGGAGCAGGACGGUGUACUGUUCGUAGUCUGGUGAGGAGGGAGUGGGGGUGUUGGAGGUGGAGGAGGAGGGGGACGAGAAGUGGAGGCUCAGGGUGGAGCAUCGCUGUCGCUGGGAGGGAUCUCCCAAAGCCUCAUACUCCGCCUGAACCUUCGUCAGCAGCAACCCUUGGAGAUG
ensembl:lncRNA